GCAUCAGUGAGGUUUAUCCCUACCUGUUGUCUUACACUAUAGUAAUAUUUUCUAAGACUACAGUAUGAUGAUUGGAUUCUAUGAAUACAUGAUUAUGGUCUGUAUUCAUAUGGGACUUGUCAUCCCUUUAUGAAUCCUGUCUGAU